rnacentral:rRNA from 1 species
GGAGAAUGUUAUCACGGGAGACACACGGCGGGUGCUAACGUCCGUCGUGAAGAGGGAAACAACCCAGACCGCCAGCUAAGGUCCCAAAGUCAUGGUUAAGUGGGAAACGAUGUGGGAAGGCCCAGACAGCCAGGAUGUUGGCUUAGAAGCAGCCAUCAUUUAAAGAAAGCGUAAUAGCUCACUGGUCGAGUCGGCCUGCGCGGAAGAUGUAACGGGGCUAAACCAUGCACCGAAGCUGCGGCAGCGAACGUAUCACUUAAAGCGAUUCAGCGGGUUACGAUUGACGGAGCGAAGCGACGUCAAAGCGUAUACAAAGUCGAGUCGGUUUAAGGAUACGUUCGUUGGGUAGGGGAGCGUUCUGUAAGCCUGUGAAGGUGUGUCGUGAGGCAUGCUGGAGGUAUCAGAAGUGCGAAUGCUGACAUAAGUAACGAUAAAGCGGGUGAAAAGCCCGCUCGCCGGAAGACCAAGGGUUCCUGUCCAACGUUAAUCGGGGCAGGGUGAGUCGACCCCUAAGGCGAGGCCGAAAGGCGUAGUCGAUGGGAAACGGGUUAAUAUUCCCGUACUUGGUGUUACUGCGAAGGGGGGACGGAGAAGGCUAUGUUGGCCGGGCGACGGUUGUCCCGGUUUAAGCGUGUAGGUGUGUGUUCCAGGUAAAUCCGGUUCACUUUAACACUGAGGCGUGAUGACGAGGCACUACGGUGCUGAAGCAACAAAUGCCCUGCUUCCAGGAAAAGCCUCUAAGCAUCAGGUAACAUCAAAUCGUACCCCAAACCGACACAGGUGGUCAGGUAGAGAAUACCAAGGCGCUUGAGAGAACUCGGGUGAAGGAACUAGGCAAAAUGGUGCCGUAACUUCGGGAGAAGGCACGCUGACAUGUAGGUGAAGUGAUUUACUCAUGGAGCUGAAGUCAGUCGAAGAUACCAGCUGGCUGCAACUGUUUAUUAAAAACACAGCACUGUGCAAACACGAAAGUGGACGUAUACGGUGUGACGCCUGCCCGGUGCCGGAAGGUUAAUUGAUGGGGUCAGCGCAAGCGAAGCUCCUGAUCGAAGCCCCGGUAAACGGCGGCCGUAACUAUAACGGUCCUAA